rnacentral:lncRNA from 1 species
UCAGAUAUUUCUAUCUAUGUAAUGGGCUUAACCCAUAUUUUCUAUGUUUUUCUCUCUAUAUAAACAUAACCCUAUGUGUUCAAUAUACACAAAGGAUUUAUCCUAUUUUUUCUUUUCCUUUAAUUUAAUAUUUUCCCAUGAUAAAUUCUCUAGAACAUAAUUGUUUAGCUUAGCCAACAUCCACCCAGUUACAUUUGUAACUCUUGAUUGGGUUCAACAAAGAUUAAUCAUUAUGUGACAAGCAAAAUAAGGUGAAAGUAUUAGUACCAUAUAGCGGAGAUAAUUUUUAUGUUCGAUAAAAAUAUUAUGUUAUUUAAAUAAGGUGAAAGUAUUAGUACCAUAUAGCGGAGAUGAUUUUUAUGUUCGAUAAAAAUAUCAUGUUAUUUGAAUUUUAAACACUUGAUAAAAAAU